GAUGAACGCUGGCGGCGUGCCUAAUACAUGCAAGUCGAGCGAACGGACGAGAAGCUUGCUUCUCUGAUGUUAGCGGCGGACGGGUGAGUAACACGUGGAUAACCUACCUAUAAGACUGGGAUAACUUCGGGAAACCGGAGCUAAUACCGGAUAAUAUUUUGAACCGCAUGGUUCAAAAGUGAAAGACGGUCUUGCUGUCACUUAUAGAUGGAUCCGCGCUGCAUUAGCUAGUUGGUAAGGUAACGGCUUACCAAGGCAACGAUGCAUAGCCGACCUGAGAGGGUGAUCGGCCACACUGGAACUGAGACACGGUCCAGACUCCUACGGGAGGCAGCAGUAGGGAAUCUUCCGCAAUGGGCGAAAGCCUGACGGAGCAACGCCGCGUGAGUGAUGAAGGUCUUCGGAUCGUAAAACUCUGUUAUUAGGGAAGAACAUAUGUGUAAGUAACUGUGCACAUCUUGACGGUACCUAAUCAGAAAGCCACGGCUAACUACGUGCCAGCAGCCGCGGUAAUACGUAGGUGGCAAGCGUUAUCCGGAAUUAUUGGGCGUAAAGCGCGCGUAGCGGUUUUUUAAGUCUGAUGUGAAAGCCCACGGCUCAACCGUGGAGGGUCAUUGGAAACUGGAAAACUUGAGUGCAGAAGAGGAAAGUGGAAUUCCAUGUGUAGCGGUGAAAUGCGCAGAGAUAUGGAGGAACACCAGUGGCGAAGGCGACUUUCUGGUCUGUAACUGACGCUGAUGUGCGAAAGCGUGGGGAUCAAACAGGAUUAGAUACCCUGGUAGUCCACGCCGUAAACGAUGAGUGCUAAGUGUUAGGGGGUUUCCGCCCCUUAGUGCUGCAGCUAACGCAUUAAGCACUCCGCCUGGGGAGUACGACCGCAAGGUUGAAACUCAAAGGAAUUGACGGGGACCCGCACAAGCGGGUGGAGCAUGUGGUUUAAUUCGAAGCAACGCGAAGAACCUUACCAAAUCUUGACAUCCUUUGACAACUCUAGAGAUAGAGCCUUCCCCUUCGGGGGACAAAGUGACAGGUGGUGCAUGGUUGUCGUCAGCUCGUGUCGUGAGAUGUUGGGUUAAGUCCCGCAACGAGCGCAACCCUUAAGCUUAGUUGCCAUCAUUAAGUUGGGCACUCUAAGUUGACUGCCGGUGACAAACCGGAGGAAGGUGGGGAUGACGUCAAAUCAUCAUGCCCCUUAUGAUUUGGGCUACACACGUGCUACAAUGGACAAUACAAAGGGCAGCGAAACCGCGAGGUCAAGCAAAUCCCAUAAAGUUGUUCUCAGUUCGGAUUGUAGUCUGCAACUCGACUACAUGAAGCUGGAAUCGCUAGUAAUCGUAGAUCAGCAUGCUACGGUGAAUACGUUCCCGGGUCU
rnacentral:rRNA from 1 species